rnacentral:sRNA from 1 species
UCGUUAUCAUGUGUGACGUCACUCUAAUA